AUGGAGAAAGAUGCGGUGCUGGUGUGCAUGGUCCUGGGCUUUCUGGGCUCCGUCGCGGUCACCCUCGGCUUCGUCGCCAACAACUACAGCUCCAAGGCAUGGAUCCAAGAUCGAACAUCACAAUUCUCUUUUCAUCAAUUCGAUAGAUCUGUGCUAACUAAGUAUAUGUUAGUCUGUGCAGUACAACGGGACGAACUGCGUGUACCGGAGCCCGCCGGCGACGGAUCUCGGCAUCCUGGGGGUGUUCCUGGUGUUCAUCAACCAGGACUGCAUCCUCGUGACAGGGUUUGUCGGAACCGCCAUCGCUUUAGGGUGCUUCUCCGGCGCCGCCAUCAUCACCAAGCGCAGGUAGUACCUGUACCUCGGUAA
rnacentral:rRNA from 1 species